rnacentral:lncRNA from 1 species
UUGUGGCAAGAGUUUUCUUUCACCUCAAGCACCAGGUGGGCACAGAUCAAGCAAUGUAAAAGUUCAAGGUGGGGAUUUUACAGCACCAUUUCAUUAUUCUUAUGUUAAAAAUGGACCAAAUGCCAAUGCCAUCAAACAAUUGGAAGAAAACAACGUAAGUAAAAAAGCAGUUUAUUAUAAUACUUAUCACACAUUCACACUGAUUUGCAACAAUAAUUUCCCUUCUGUUCUGGCUCAUGGAUUUCAGAAUCAUGCCGAUCAUGUUCCAUCCCACCUAGUUACCUCUACAUGGGACGAAGAGAAAGAAGACCUUCAAGUUCUCAAGCUCAACCUCAAUGAACUGCCUAACCAGGAUGGUGAAGAUGGGUUGGAGCCUGGUAAUACAGCUAGCUAGAUAUGUUCAUUUGAUCACAUUAAUGAACUUUUUAGGCCUUCAAUAUCAAGACUUUUGCUGUCUAUUUGUUUUC